rnacentral:rRNA from 1 species
GGUUGCGAUCAUACCAGCACUAAUGCACCGGAUCCCAUCAGAACUCCGCAGUUAAGCGUGCUUGGGCGAGAGUAGUACUAGGAUGGGUGACCACCUGGGAAGUCCUCGUGUUGCAACCC